UUCGGAUCUAUGAUUAUAUCUAAUAUUUUAUGCUCUUCAGUGCCUUCUAAUUGCUGGACUAAUUGCAGUUCUGCAGACUCACUCAAUGAUGCUUUUCUAAAGACAGACAUCUAACACAGUGUGUUGCGCCAUAACUCAAUAAUGCACAGCAGUCAAAUCUCUGUUAUUGGGGGGCCAAAUUUUUUUGUUGCAGAGUGCUGGUGGUUGUAGGGCAAUUGUAAGCUGUGCAGGCUGCUCAUUUUCCAUGAGAAAGGUGAUGGCUAUUGAUGGGCUGUGGGUUGUGACAACCAAUGAGGAGGUGGUGGACACAGCAAAGGCAGUGUUAAAGAGCCCUUAAUGCUUCCGAAGAUGUUAGCCACCUAAGCUGCUGAACAUGGCAACAAAGACAACAUCAUAGCCAUUGUUGUAUUUCUUCCCCAAGUCUCAAUCAAUGAGAGAACUUAGGAGCUUUGGGAGGAGCUGAAUGCCGCACAUGUAUAAUUGCGUUUCGUCUUGGUGGCUGCUGGAUGUGGCAACAAAAGACAACAUCACAGUCCUUUUUCUUUGUCCGAUUGCAGCAAGACAAUUCAGCAGCAGUCAUAUCAAACAUGCAGUGGCACCUCAUCUUGUUAACCCCCUACAGUGUUUUUUAGUUAAGAUUCUUUGUUGUUGCCAAGUCUCUUCAAGCAGCUCAUGGAGAGUCAGAGUUGUAGACUAUAGCCAUUUUCAAAGCUAACAAAAGUCAGACAAAGGAGUGAAGAAAUCCUGGAGGAAAGUCCAGUUUUUUGUUUA